rnacentral:lncRNA from 1 species
UUAAAAAUAAUCAAUGGGAAAAAUAAUAUUUUAGGGUUGUAUAUUUGUAUAAAUAUCAUUAUUUUAAAAAAAAGUCUGAAAAAAAUGAACUAUCAAAUAUUUUAAUAUUUUUCACUUGUAUCAACUUAUAAACAUAUAAAAUAUAUGUGCAUUCCUGAAUUUGUUUAAAUUAUCUAAAAUCGUUAAAUUUUAUUAACUCAUCAAUCAAAAUUAUUGUAAAUUUAUACUGUACCCAUCAUUGAAAGUAGCCCAGUUUAAAACCCUCGCCCUAAUUAACAAGAAAGCUCGGGCUCGGCAAUCGGAGAAUUUGACGAGGUAAAUGUCUUUAAACCCUUGUCCAAAGUAUGCAAUUGCAUGGCUAUAUAUAGAUGGUAACAUUAUACAAAAUGGUUUUGAUGGCUAUUCUUAUGAUGGUCAAAUGGCUAGGCUUGUUAAGCUUGAUGUUACUCUGAAAUUUAAACAACUCUGUGAUGUUAUAUGUGCAAAACUCAAGAUUGAUACUAGAUUAUAUGGGCUGAAGAUAAGGCAUAAGUGUUUUAACCCCAUGACUAAAAUGUUUGAUUUUGCGCCGGUUCUUGAUGAUGAUGAUGUUGAGUUGAUGUUUGAGUUGGUGGCUUCUUUGGGUGUGAAGAAUGCUGUUGUUGAGCUUUAUUUGGAGAGGGUUUUGCUUGAUGGGUUUGUGGAGAAGAUAGUGGAUGUGCCAUUGGAUGUGAAUUGUUUGAGUGAGCAAGCGGGUUUUUUGUUUGAUAGUGAAUUGGGAGUUAGUCGGGGUUUUGGGAGAUGUGGGGAAAAUGUGGAUUUUUGUUGUGAUUUGGGAGGAGGUGGUGUAGUUGUGGAAGGUUGUGGGGAUUUCGGGAAGAGAGGGGAAGAUGGGGACGAUAGGGUAGGUUUGGGAGAAAGUGGUGAGAAUGGGGAUGUUGGUCGAGAUUUUGGAGUAAUAGGUGAAAAUAUGGAAGUUAAUCGUGAUUUGUGUUUAGGUGGUGAAGAAGUAGUGAGGGGUGGUUUAAAUAAGAAAACGCUUUGUAAGCGACGUGUGAAUAGUCAAGGAAGGAGGAGGGUUUCAAGAGGGAGAAAUAAGGGUGGGGAGAGUGGUACUCUUUAUAGCAGCUUUGACGGGUCUUCUAUGGUGGAAUCACUUAAGGCGCCUGUUUUUAGAACGAGCGGGGAUGUGUUACAUGUGACGGACUUGAAGAAGGGGAUGUUGUUUGUAUCUAGGGAAGAAUUGGCCGAUAUAGUUUUACAAGUUCACUAUAGCAACCAGCAGGAGGUGAAAGUGAUGAGGGCGGAUCCAUUGAAUUACUCUGUGAUAUGUAAGCAGAAAGCAACUGGGUGUAUGUGGAGCUUAAAGGCUAGAAAACGAAAGCAGCAUGGUUUUUUUGAGAUAAUGACGAUAUGUGGUUCACAUACUUGUGUCAGCCCCUCUUUCACACAAGGCCAUGCUGCAUAUUCAAAUGUAGAAGAAGUGCCUGAUGCCCAAGUUGCUGGCGAUGGCGAUCCUUCCUAUCAAGAAAAGGUUAAAAAAGAAAUUAGCGAAGUUUGAGUAUGUCAUAAAACAAAAUUUCUCUUGCAAAUCAGUUACUAUUUUUUAAAAUUUGCAUAAUUGCUUCUUUAGUUUGUUUCCGUUGCUAAAUUUUAUACUGAUGUCGGAUUUAGGACCGCAUCUUGAACAUGUUAUAUGUUGUUGAUAAUUAAUAUUGUCAAUCGUCCUUCAUUCUGUCCAAUCUUGACGGGAUAAAGACCUUUUAAAAGAGGCUCUUGGAAGAAAUUUACAGCUUUACAGACUGGCAAUUGAGCUUAAGUAUUGAAUUUUUUGUUUGAUUUUAGGUACAGAUCUUCCAACUAUGAUACUGUUAUUAAGUGCAAUUAAGAAAUUUACUUGUUACAUAAAGUAUAGAAUUUGCUUGAGCUAUCUUUUAUCAGUCAGUGUUUUCCUUUGUUUAUUGACAUUUGGCUUCAACUGACUUUCUUAAUAAAUUACACUAGCUUGAGAAUGGAGCGGAUGAAUUUGCAGAGGGCAGAUAUUUAAUUUAAUUUAUCGUUUAUCAUCUCAAAACUUUUGUGCUAUUUUUGUCUACCAAUCUCUGUGUACUUCCCGGUCUUCCCCUAGUGUAGUGUCUGUUAAUAAUUCGGAGUGCAGUCCAAGGUUUUCAAGCAAAGCUGUAGACGGUCCAGAGAUCAACAAAUUUCCAAUAUAUAACAUCAACAGUAAUGAUUUGACUGUCUUUCGGAGACCAACAAAUUUCAACUAUGCUAAAGAUUCAAUGGUUCUUGCAUAGACCAACAACUUCCCAUUACAUAAAUCUUACAUAAUACGCAUCAAACUCACACAAUAAUAUCAUCACGUAGCAGAACUUUAGUGGAAGUGCAUGUGUUCUUAGUUUAAAAAGAUGCUCUCUAAUGAAUCAAUUUAGAACAAAGACACGCUAUUAGGAGUGUGCAUGAGUGUUUAUCUUAACAACAAUUAUACACCAUCAAGGAGUGUGCAUGAGUUUGUAUGUUAACAACAUGUUUAUUAGUGAAUCAAUCAAGAACAAAAACAUGCAAUCUUCAACAUGACAAGUUAUGUGAGUUAAUAGCUCCCAAAUUGAGUAUCAGAAUUCAUUAUACAUAUUUGAUUACUCAGAAUUUGAUCGUAGAUAUUUAAUUACUCAGAAUUAGUAAUUUUUAAGUUUACAAUAGUACUCUGUUUUCUUUUGUGAUUAUAAUCCUAUUAUAUAUAAUUUUUUUAUUUCUUUAUAUGCUUAGUCUAAGAUCGGAACGUUUUCUAGUCAUGACCAUUACACUAUAUUAGUGUUUUAUCUUUUUGUAAGACAAAUAAUUCUACAUUAAUUAAAGAUAUUGUAUUGUCAAGAAAAAUUUGAUAAUAAAACGAUAAUACGUAAUAACAGCACAUAUAUGAUCGUUCUAUUCAUAUAAUAUUUACUCAUCUCUAAUACUCCCUCCGUCCCACCAGGUAGUUUACGUUCACUGUUUGCACGCAUUUUGAGGCUCUUAUAAAGGAUAGUUGAAUAAUAUUUUUUUAAAUUAUUUUUUUUCUGAAUAAAAGUUUAGACAUCAAACUUUUUUUCAAGAUUUUUUUAAAAAUUAUAUAUAAAAUGUAAGUAUAGAACCUUAAAACAUAAAAUGCGUGCCAAAAAAGUAACGUAAAGAACCUGGUGGGACGGAGGGAGUAGAUGAGUAUUUGUUACUUUCUUUGUAUUUUUUUAAAGAACACUUACACCCCAACAAAUUUAUCCGAACUUAAACAUUAUUGUACCGAGCUGAAAACAGAAUAAUCAAAAUUCUAAUACAUAUGACCGUCGGAGAUAUAAAAUUAAUAUAAGAAAAUAUGAAUUCAGGUGCUCUCAGUCUCACGGCAGGAUGUCAAGAAUAAAGACAGAAGAAUCAUUCAGAAUUUUUGUCAAUUAUUUUUUAACACAACUUUACCAAAACAGUUUCGAAUAUCUGUAUGUCAACUUCCACUAAAACAGACUCUCACACACACACACACAUAUAUAUGUCGAUUUGUCAUCGAUGAUGGACGUAGCUUUGACCUGAAUUAAUCACCGACCCGAUUUGACAUUGUAAUAUAUAUAUAAGUAUCCGCAUCAUGAUUAUAUUUCAGAUCUUCAGAAUCCAGUGUUAUAAAAAGAGGGAAUCAAACUUAAUCAGUAAUGUUACGAAACAAAGAUUAAUCAAAGAUUAAUUAGAUUGAUCAGGAAUUAAUCAAAUAAUUAAUUGAAUAAUUGAAUAUUUAACUAAUUUCACAAGCUACAGAACAAAGAUUGAUUAGUGAUUAAUCACUAAAUUUUAGAACAUUGCUUGGUACAGAUAAAAAAUUGCUGGAAAAUGAUUAAAUGACCCACUUCAUUUUUCUGACCCAAAAAUGUGAAAACGGCCUUUUAAUUCAUAGUUGCUAAAUACACUUCAUAUUUGCUUUGUGCAGUUCGCAGAGAUUACAAUUGUGUCCUUCCUAUGGUUCCGUGCAAUGCUAUGAUACAAAACAAAGUCAACCCUAAUUUUUUGUGCACUUUGAACAGGAUUAAUGUAGGCGCAUUUACUAAUUACUCCAUUUAAUUAUCUUUUUUCAACUAUUAAGUGAUACAUAAAUAUUAU